rnacentral:tRNA from 1 species
UCGUCUAUAGCUUAAAUAGUGUAAUUUUGAAGAAAUUAAGAUAUGAGAGACGAA